AUGAUUUCGUUUAGAUCGCUGGCUGACGCUGGCUGAUUCAAAUUAAUUUAUAAUUUAUAUUGUUAUAUAACAUAACUGAGGCCAUUGGUCCCUAAUAAAGCUGAAGGAUGAACAGCAUCGGUGAAAAAUGUCAAGACAUCAAAAAAGAAUACGAUGACUGUUUCAACGCAUGGUUCUCUGAGAAAUUCUUGAAAGGUCAGACCACUGAAGAUCCAAGGUGUCUUGAACUGUUCAAGAAAUAUUCAGAAUGUGCCAAGGAAGCAAUCGAAGAGAAGGGCAUCAAUUUAAAAGACAUCCGAAAAGAUGUUCUUGGCACAAGUGAGGAACCAAAAAUGCGGAAAGGAAAUAGCUGACUUUUAUCGCGUUCGGUCGAUGACUGAUGUGAUGUGUGACGUAACGUGACGUGACGUAUGACGUGACGUGACGGGACGUUGUCUGCUGUGUGACUGACGUGUGGUUACGCUUGUUGUCACCUCCAUUAUUGUAAUACCACACUUGUCAUUUCUUUAUCUGUGUAUAUCGAGUCUCUGAAUAUUUCAUUGUUGCGAAUGGGACCGAAAUAUACAGAAACGAUCA